rnacentral:rRNA from 1 species
CUACGGGGUGCUCCAGUGGGGAAUAUUGCACAAUGGGGGGAACCCUGAUGCAGCAACGCCGCGUGGAGGAUGACGCAUUUCGGUGUGUAAACUCCUUUUAUGUGUCAAGAAAAUGACGGUAGCAUAUGAAUAAGCACCGGCUAACUCCGUGCCAGCAGCCGCGGUAAUACGGAGGGUGCAAGCGUUACUCGGAAUCACUGGGCGUAAAGGACGCGUAGGCGGGUUGGAAAGUCAGGUGUGAAAUCCUACAGCUUAACUGUAGAACUGCGCUUGAAACUUCUAAUCUAGAGUAUGGGAGGGGGAGAUGGAAUUAGUGGUGUAGGGGUAAAAUCCGUAGAUAUCACUAGGAAUACCUAAAGCGAAGGCGAUCUCCUGGAACAUUACUGACGCUAAGGCGUGAAAGCGUGGGGAGCAAACAGGAUUAGAUACCCCUGUAGUC